GAAUUUUGGACAAUGGGCGAAAGCCCGAUCCAGCAAUGCCGCGUGCAGGAUGAAGGCCUUCGGGUUGUAAACUGCUUUUGUACGGAACGAAAAGCUUUGGGUUAAUACCCUGGAGUCAUGACGGUACCGUAAGAAUAAGAACCCGCGAACUACGUGCCAGGAGCCGCGGUAAUACGUAGGGUGCAAGCGUUCAUAGGAAUUACUGGGUGUAAGGCGUGCGCAGGCGGUUUUGUAAGACAGGGGUGAAAUCCCCGGGCUGAACCAGGGAACUGCCUUUGUGACUGCAAGGCUAGAGUACGGCAGAGGGGGGUGGAAUUCCGCGUGGAGCAGUGAAAUGCGUAGAUAUGCGGAGGAACACCGAUGGCGAAGGCAACCCCCUGGGCCUGUACUGACGCUCAUGCACGAAAGCGUGGGGAGCAAAC
rnacentral:rRNA from 1 species